CCCACGGGCGGCAGCAGUGAGGAAUAUUGGUCAAUGGCCGCAGGGCUGAACCAGCCAAGUCGCGUGAGGGAUGACGGUCCUAUGGAUUGUAAACCUCUUUUGUCAGGGAGCAAAGGGCGCCACGUGUGGCGUUUUGCGAGUACCUGAAGAAAAAGCAUCGGCUAACUCCGUGCCAGCAGCCGCGGUAAUACGGAGGAUGCGAGCGUUAUCCGGAUUUAUUGGGUUUAAAGGGUGCGCAGGCGGAAUGCCAAGUCAGCGGUAAAAUUGCGGGGCUCAACCCUGUCGUGCCGUUGAAACUGGCGGUCUUGAGUGAGCGAAGAGUAUGCGGAAUGCGUGGUGUAGCGGUGAAAUGCAUAGAUAUCACGCAGAACUCCGAUUGCGAAGGCAGCAUACCGGCGCGCAACUGACGCUCAUGCACGAAAGCGUGGGUAUCGAACAGGAUUAGAUACCCCAGUAGUC
rnacentral:rRNA from 1 species